CUACGGGUUGCUCCAGUGAGGAAUAUUGCACAAUGGGGGGAACCCUGAUGCAGCAACGCCGCGUGGAGGAUGACGCAUUUCGGUGUGUAAACUCCUUUUAUAUGUCAAGAAAAUGACGGUAGCAUAUGAAUAAGCACCGGCUAACUCCGUGCCAGCAGCCGCGGUAAUACGGAGGGUGCAAGCGUUACUCGGAAGCACUGGGCGUAAAGGACGCGUAGGCGGGUUGGAAAGUCAGGUGUGAAAUCCUACAGCUUAACUGUAGAACUGCACUUGAAACUUCUAAUCUAGAGUAUGGGAUGGGGAGAUGGAAUUAGUGGUGUAGGGGUAAAAUCCGUAGAUAUCACUAGGAAUACCUAAAGCGAAGGCGAUCUCCUGGAACAUUACUGACGCUAAGGCGUGAAAGCGUGGGGAGCAAACAGGAUUAGAUACCCUAGUAGUC
rnacentral:rRNA from 1 species